rfam:Myotis davidii contig174454, whole genome shotgun sequence.
GGCAGUUCUCAGGUGAUGCACCCUGGAAUCAGGCUCCCUCCUCUCUCGUUCCAGGUGCAUCACCCGAGAACCACA